GACGAACGCUGGCGGCGUGCUUAACACAUGCAAGUCGAACGGAAAGGCCCUGCUUUUGUGGGGUGCUCGAGUGGCGAACGGGUGAGUAACACGUGAGUAACCUGCCCUUGACUUUGGGAUAACUUCAGGAAACUGGGGCUAAUACCGGAUAGGAGCUCCUGCUGCAUGGUGGGGGUUGGAAAGUUUCGGCGGUUGGGGAUGGACUCGCGGCUUAUCAGCUUGUUGGUGGGGUAGUGGCUUACCAAGGCUUUGACGGGUAGCCGGCCUGAGAGGGUGACCGGCCACAUUGGGACUGAGAUACGGCCCAGACUCCUACGGGAGGCAGCAGUGGGGAAUAUUGCACAAUGGGCGGAAGCCUGAUGCAGAAACGCCGCGGGCGGGAUGACGGCCUUCGGGUUGUAAACCGCUUUCGCCUGUGACGAAGCGUGAGUGACGGUAAUGGGUAAAGAAGCACCGGCUAACUACGUG
rnacentral:rRNA from 1 species